CUCUCAACGUCACCCUGGUGCUGCAGUGCGAGCGCUGGCGCUUCGUGCGGGUGGGACUGGCCGUGCCACUGCUGGGCACCGUGGCCGACCUGCGGGAGAUGGUGGCACGGGAGGGCUGCAUUCCCCCGGAGCAGGUGAUCCUGGCCGAGGUGUCCCCGCGGGGCUUCCUGCGCUCGCUGGGGGACAAGGAGGAGCUGGGAGCUGCCGGGGAGGGGGCUCCUCUCUACGCCUUCCAGCCGCCCCCUGCCCGCCGCACAGGGUGCCCCCGCAGCC